rnacentral:rRNA from 1 species
UGGGGAAUAUUGGACAAUGGGCGAAAGCCUGAUCCAGCAACGCCGCGUGAGGGAUGACGGCCUUCGGGUUGUAAACCUCUUUCAGCGGGGACGAAGCGAAAGUGACGGUACCCGCAGAAGAAGCACCGGCCAACUACGUGCCAGCAGCCGCGGUAACACGUAGGGUGCAAGCGUUGUCCGGAAUUAUUGGGCGUAAAGGGCUCGUAGGCGGUCCGUCACGUCGGGAGUGAAAACUCGGGGCUCAACCCCGAGCCUGCUUUCGAUACGGGCGGACUAGAGGUAGGUAGGGGAGAACGGAAUUCCUGGUGUAGCGGUGGAAUGCGCAGAUAUCAGGAGGAACACCGGUGGCGAAGGCGGUUCUCUGGGCCUUACCUGACGCUGAGGAGCGAAAGCGUGGGGAGCGAACAG